UCCAGUUUCUCACUGGCAGUUUCUUUCAUCCAAUGAAAGAUAAGGGUUGCGCUCGUUAUAGGACUUAACCCUACGACUCACGUCACGAGCUGACGACAGCCAUGCAGCACCUGUAUGAUGUAUGAGAUUCCAAAAUUUCUUUUAGAUCUCCACCAUAUGUCAAGAGCUGGUAAGGUUCUGCGCGUUGUAUCGAAUUAAACCACAUGCUCCACCGCUUGUGUGGGUCCCCGUCAAUUCCUUUGAGUUUUAACCUUGCGGCCGUAUUUCCCAGGUGGAGUGUUUAACGCGUUAGCUGUAACACUGGAAGUUCUUUCUCCCAACAUUUAACACUCAUCGUUUACUGUAUGGACUAC
rnacentral:misc_RNA from 1 species